rnacentral:tRNA from 1 species
GGGGAUACAGCUCAGUGGCACAAGCAGCUGCCUGGCAAGCACAAGGUCCUGAGUUCGAUUCCCAGCACCCCCC